GAAGAAACACAUGUUGAUAUCAAACGCACCGCGAGAAUUCUCAGAUAAUUGUUUUUUUUUUUUAUAACUCAUGUGAAUCUUUUUUAUUUUCCCGAAAAAAAAAUACUUGACUUGAUACUGAACGUUCUUUUCAAAACACUUCAGCAUAGAAGCAGCAAUAUUUUUCUUUCGAGAAGUCCGUCUCUCCGCGUGUGAUCAUAUCUUUUCAACUCUCGAUUAUUCCGAGGAAUAAUGCGUGCGGCAUGAAUGCGUGGCACAAACGUGACGUCACGAGCAGAGAGAGCGAGAGAGAGAGAGACAACUUCACGUUUAACGCCGAAAACUGACGUUCGUGCGGUGUCACAGAAUGUACGAAUUAACUUGAAGAGGCAAAAUCGCAAGUUUCGUCGACCAAAGCUCCGCAAUUAACGAUCCGUUCUCAAUGAGAUAACAAUUGCAACAACAAGCACAUAUAUAUAGUAUAUCGUGUAUACUUAAGCGGUUCCGUCAUGAUUGCAUCACGGACGAACUCCUCUAUACGUCACGCGACUCAAAAUAAAAUAAAUAAAAAAAAACACACACACACCGCAGAAGCCAAUACCAAAGACAUCGAAGCCAAAGUAAGCUCGUUGAGGUUCAGACUUGUACAACCGUAGAAGAAAAAAAAACAUCAAAACCGAAGUGCCGCACCGAGCUCGUCUGUUGUCAAAAAAAAAAAAAAAAAA